rnacentral:rRNA from 1 species
GACGAACCGAGCGAACGUUAUUCGGAAUCACUGGGCUUAAAGGGCGCGUAGGCGGAUCAAAAAGUCAGGGGUGAAAUCCCACGGCUCAACCGUGGAAGUGCCUUUGAUACUGUUGAUCUCGAGGGAGGUAGGGGCGUGCGGAACUUCCGGUGGAGCGGUGAAAUGCGUAGAUAUCGGAAGGAACACCGGUGGCGAAAGCGGCGCGCUGGACCUCUUCUGACGCUGAGGCGCGAAAGCCAGGGGAGCAAACGGG